CCUACGGGAGGCAGCAGUGGGGAAUAUUGCACAAUGGGGGAAACCCUGAUGCAGCAACGCCGCGUGAGUGAAGAAGUAUUUCGGUACGUAAAGCUCUAUCAGCAGGGAAGAAAAAAAGGCCUUUGGACCUUGGACGGUACCCUACUAAGAAGCCCCGGCGAACUACGUUCCAGCAGCCGCGGUAAUACGUAGGGGGCACGCGUUAUCCGGAUUUAGUGGGUGUAAAGGGAGCGUAGCCGGGCUGGCAAGUCAGCAGUGAACGCCGGGGGCUCAACCCCCGAACUGCAUUUGAAACUGUUGGGCUGGAGGACAGGAGGGGCAGGCGGAAUUCCUAGUGUAGCGGUGAAAUGCGUAGAUAUUAGGAGGAACACCAGUGGCGAAGGCGGCCUGCUGGACGACAACUGACGGUGAGGCGCGAAGGCGUGGGGAGCAAACAGGAUUAGAUACCCCAGUAGUC
rnacentral:rRNA from 1 species